rnacentral:misc_RNA from 1 species
GAUGAAGAACGCAGCGAAAUGCGAUACGUAAUGUGAAUUGCAGAAUUCAGUGAAUCAUCGAGUCUUUGAACGCACAUUGCGCCCCCUGGUAUUCCGGGGGGCAUGCCUGUCCGAGCGUCAUUGCUGCCCUCAAGCACGGCUUGUGUGUUGGGCCUCCGUCCUCCUCCCGGGGGACGGGGCCGAAAGGCAGCGGCGGCACCGCGUCCGGUCCUCGAGCGUAUGGGGCUUCGUCACCCGCUCUUGUAGGCCCGGCCGGCGCUUGCCGACACAUCAAUCUUUUUUCCAGGUUGACCUCGGAUCAGGUAGGGAUACCCGCUGAACUUAAGCAUAUCAAUAAGCGGAGA